UGGAGGGCAAGUCUGGUGCCAGCAGCUGUGGUAAUUUCAGCUCCAAUAGCGUAUAUUAAAGUUGUUACAAUUAAAAAGCUCGUAGUUGAAUUUCGGGAUUAGUAGGUUGGUUGUGCCUCAGGUAUAUACUGAUCUCACUAAUUCCUCCUUCCUGAUGAACCGUAAUGCCAUUAAUUUGGUGUUACAGGGAAACUGGACUGUUACUUUAAAAAAAUUAGAGUGUUUAAAGCAGGCUAACGCUUGAAUACAUUAGCAUGGAAUAAUGAAAUAGGACGUUCGAUCCUAUUUUGUUGGUUUCUAGGAUUGAUGUAAUAAUUAAUAGGGAUAGUUGGGGGCAUUAGUAUUCAAUUAUCAGAGGUGAAAUUCUUGGAUUUAUUGAAGACUAACUACUGCGAAAGCAUUUGCCAAGGAUGUUUUCAUUAAUCAA
rnacentral:rRNA from 1 species